rnacentral:rRNA from 1 species
GACGAACGCUGGCGGCGUGCUUAACACAUGCAAGUCGAACGCUGAAGGCCUGGCUUUUGUUGGGUUGGAUGAGUGGCGCACGGGUGAGUAACACGUGAGUAACCUGCCCUCUUCUUUGGGAUAACGCCCGGAAACGGGUGCUAUUACUGGAUAUUCACUGAUCUUCGCAUGGGGGUUGGUGGAAAGGUUUGUUCUGGUGGGGGAUGGGCUCGCGGCCUAUCAGCUUGUUGGUGGGGUGAUGGCCUACCAAGGCUUUGACGGGUAGCCGGCCUGAGAGGGUGACCGGUGACAUUGGGACUGAGAAACGGCCCAGACUCGUACGGGAGGCAGAAGUGGGGAAUAUUGAACAAUGGGCGAAAGACUGAUGCAGCGACGGCGAGUGAGGGAUGGAGGCCGUAGGGUUGUAAACCUCUUUCGCUAAUGGUCAAGCCGCAACUGUGGGUUGUGGUGAGGGUAGUGGGUAAAGAAGCGCCGGCUAACUACGUG